GCGAGGGAAAGGUGAAAAGCACCCCGGUGAGGGGAGUGAAAUAGUACCUGAAACCAUCUGCUAACAAGUCAGUCGGAGCCCCCUUGUGGGGUGACGGCCUGCCUUUUGUAUAAUGAGUCUGCGAGUUAUUGUCGGUAGCAAGCCUAAGCCGCUCAGCGGCGCAGGCGCAGCGAAAGCGAGUCCGAAUAGGGCGCUUAGUUGUCGGCAAUAGACCCGAAGGGGAGGUGAUCUAACCAUGGCCAGGAUGAAACUUCAGUAACAUGAAGUGGAGGUCCGAACCGGUCAAUCUUGAGAAAUUGUCGGAUGAGCUGUGGUUAGGAGCGAAAGACUAAUCAAACCCCCUGAUAGCUGGUUCUUUCCGAAAUAUAUUUGGGUAUAGCCUCGGGCGCUGAUUUGCGGAGGUAGAGCACUAAAUAAGCUAGGGCCCCUACCGGGGUACUGAACUUAAUUAAACUCCGAAUACCGUAGAGUGAAGCUCGGCAGUCAGACUGUGGGGGAUAACCUUCAUAGUCAAAAGGAGAAUAAUCCAAACCAUCAGUUAAGGUCCCAAAAUACGGCUCAGUGUAAAAGGAUGUGAUUUUGCUUAGACAAUGGGGAUGUUGGCUUAGAGGCAGCCAUCAUUUAAACAGUGCGUAACAGCUGACCCAUCGAGCGAAAUUGCGCCGAAAAUGAUCGGGACUUAAGCCGUAUACCGAAGCUAUGGCUGCCAUCGCAAGAUGGCGGGGUAGGAAAGCGUUCCAAAUGCAGCGAAGUGGAAGGGGUAACCGACCAUGGAGCGUUUGGAAGUGAGAAUGCAGACAUAAGUAACGAUAAAGAUGGUUAAAAUCCAUCUCGCCUCAAUUCCAAGGAUUCCUGGGGAAGGUUCGUCCUCCCAGGGUUAGUCGGGAGCUAAGACGAGGCCGUAAGGAGUAGUCGAUGCACAGCUGGUUCAAUAUUCCAGCACCACCUUAUUUGAGUUCGAUGCCAAGGAGUGACGGAGAAAGUUAACACGAGCGGGGCGCUGAUUUCCGUUCAAGUCCGUAGGUUAUUCGGGAGUAAAAUACCGGAUCUAUCUGAAAGACGAUGAAGAGCUGAGGCUACGGCCGAAGCGAUUCGUGUGAUACUCGGCUUCCAGGAAAAGCUUCGUGGCUAUUUGAUAGGGUGCCCGUACCGUAAACCGACACAGGUGGAAUAGAUGAGUAUUCUAAGGCGCGUGGGUUAAAUCUCUCUAAGGAACUCGGCAAACUGACCCCGUAUGUUAGCUAUAAGGGGUGCCUCGCAAGAGGCCACAGAUAAGAGUGUCAACCGACUGUUUAGCAAAAACACAGCUCUCUGCUAAGUCGCAAGACGACGUAUAGGGAGUGACUUGUGACCAAUGCGGAAAGGUGAAAGCCUGGGGUGCAAGCUCCGGGUCUAAGCCCCCGUGAAUGUCGGCCGUAACUAUAACGGUCCUAAGGUAGCGAAAUUCCUUGUCGGGUAAGUUCC
rnacentral:rRNA from 1 species